GAUGAACGCUGGCGGCGUGCCUAAUACAUGCAAGUCGAGCGAACAGACGAGGAGCUUGCUCCUCUGACGUUAGCGGCGGACGGGUGAGUAACACGUGGAUAACCUACCUAUAAGACUGGGAUAACUUCGGGAAACCGGAGCUAAUACCGGAUAACAUGUUGAACCGCAUGGUUCAACAGUGAAAGACGGUCUUGCUGUCACUUAUAGAUGGAUCCGCGCCGCAUUAGCUAGUUGGUAAGGUAACGGCUUACCAAGGCAACGAUGCGUAGCCGACCUGAGAGGGUGAUCGGCCACACUGGAACUGAGACACGGUCCAGACUCCUACGGGAGGCAGCAGUAGGGAAUCUGCGGCAAUGGGCGAAAGCCUGACGGAGCAACGCCGCGUGAGUGAUGAAGGUCUUCGGAUCGUAAAGCUCUGUUAUUAGGGAAGAACAAAUGUGUAAGUAACUAUGCACGUCUUGACGGUACCUAAUCAGAAAGCCACGGCUAACUACGUG
rnacentral:rRNA from 1 species